rnacentral:rRNA from 1 species
GACGAACGCUGGCGGCGUGCUUAACACAUGCAAGUCGAACGGAAAGGCCCUGCUUUUGUGGGGUGCUCGAGUGGCGAACGGGUGAGUAACACGUGAGUAACCUGCCCUUGACUUUGGGAUAACUUCAGGAAACUGGGGCUAAUACCGGAUAGGAGCUCCUGCUGCAUGGUGGGGGUUGGAAAGUUUCGGCGGUUGGGGAUGGACUCGCGGCUUAUCAGCUUGUUGGUGGGGUAGUGGCUUACCAAGGCUUUGACGGGUAGCCGGCCGGAGAGGGUGACCGGACACUCUGGACUGGGAGUGGGCCACAGCCCCCAGCGGGAGGGGAGGGGGGGGAAUUUUACAGAGGGGGCUGGACUUAGGCCCGACCCGGCCGGGCGGGGGAUGAGGGCAUGGGGUUAGUAAUGGAUUUCCCCCUGAGCCGGGGGGUGAAUGACAGUAAUGGGAAAAGAAGCACCGGCUAACUCCGUG